UACGUAGGGGGCGAGCGUUGUCCGAAGUUACUGGGCGUAAAGCGCGCGUAGGCGGGAAAUUAAGUGAGAAGUGAAAGGCUGGGGCUCAACCUCAUGCAGUGCUUCUCAUACUGGUUUUCUUGAGGGCGGUAGAGAAAAGUGGAAUGGCUGGUGUAGCGGUGAAAUGCGUAGAUAUCAGUCGGAACACCGGUGGCGAAGGCGGCUUUUUGGGCCGUGCCUGACGCUGAGGCGCGAAAGCCAGGGGAGCGAACGGG
rnacentral:rRNA from 1 species